rnacentral:tRNA from 1 species
GGUUUAAUGGUCUAGUUGGUUAUGACAUCUGUCUAACACACAGAAGGUCUCCAGUUCAAGUCUGGGGUUGAACCU